UCGUCACACUAUCAUUAACUGAAUCCAUAGGUUAAUGAGGCGAACCGGGGGAACUGAAACAUCUAAGUACCCCGAGGAAAAGAAAUCAACCGAGAUUCCCCCAGUAGCGGCGAGCGAACGGGGAGGAGCCCAGAGCCUGAAUCAGCAUGUGUGUUAGUGGAAGCGUCUGGAAAGGCGCGCGAUACAGGGUGACAGCCCCGUACACAAAAGCGCAUGUGCUGUGAGCUCGAUGAGUAGGGCGGGACACGUGGUAUCCUGUCUGAAUAUGGGGGGACCAUCCUCCAAGGCUAAAUACUCCUGACUGACCGAUAGUGAACCAGUACCGUGAGGGAAAGGCGAAAAGAACCCCGGCGAGGGGAGUGAAAAAGAACCUGAAACCGUGUACGUACAAGCAGUGGGAGCACCCUUCGGGGUGUGACUGCGUACCUUUUGUAUAAUGGGUCAGCGACUUAUAUUCUGUAGCAAGGUUAACCGUAUAGGGGAGCCGGAGGGAAACCGAGUCUUAAUUGGGCGUUAAGUUGCAGGGUAUAGACCCGAAACCCGGUGAUCUAGCCAUGGGCAGGUUGAAGGUUGGGUAACACUAACUGGAGGACCGAACCGACUAAUGUUGAAAAAUUAGCGGAUGACCUGUGGCUGGGGGUGAAAGGCCAAUCAAACCGGGAGAUAGCUGGUUCUCCCCGAAAGCUAUUUAGGUAGCGCCUCGUGAAUUCAUCUCCGGGGGUAGAGCACUGUUUCGGCUAGGGGGCCAUCCCGGCUUACCAACCCGAUGCAAACUGCGAAUACCGGAGAAUGUUAUCACGGGAGACACACGGCGGGUGCUAACGUCCGUCGUGAAGAGGGAAACAACCCAGACCGCCAGCUAAGGUCCCAAAGUCAUGGUUAAGUGGGAAACGAUGUGGGAAGGCCCAGACAGCCAGGAUGUUGGCUUAGAAGCAGCCAUCAUUUAAAGAAAGCGUAAUAGCUCACUGGUCGAGUCGGCCUGCGCGGAAGAUGUAACGGGGCUAAACCAUGCACCGAAGCUGCGGCAGCGAACGUAUCACCCAAGACAACUUUACGGAGUUGACGAUUGACGGAGCGAAGCGACGUCAAAGCGUUCAUUAAAGUCGAGUUGGCUUAGGGAUACGUUCGUUGGGUAGGGGAGCGUUCUGUAAGCCUGUGAAGGUGUGUCGUGAGGCAUGCUGGAGGUAUCAGAAGUGCGAAUGCUGACAUAAGUAACGAUAAAGCGGGUGAAAAGCCCGCUCGCCGGAAGACCAAGGGUUCCUGUCCAACGUUAAUCGGGGCAGGGUGAGUCGACCCCUAAGGCGAGGCCGAAAGGCGUAGUCGAUGGGAAACGGGUUAAUAUUCCCGUACUUGGUGUUACUGCGAAGGGGGGACGGAGAAGGCUAUGUUGGCCGGGCGACGGUUGUCCCGGUUUAAGCGUGUAGGUGUGUGUUCCAGGUAAAUCCGGUUCACUUUAACACUGAGGCGUGACGACGAGGCACUACGGUGCUGAAGCAACAAAUGCCCUGCUUCCAGGAAAAGCCUCUAAGCAUCAGGUAACAUCAAAUCGUACCCCAAACCGACACAGGUGGUCAGGUAGAGAAUACCAAGGCGCUUGAGAGAACUCGGGUGAAGGAACUAGGCAAAAUGGUGCCGUAACUUCGGGAGAAGGCACGCUGACACGUAGGUGAAGUGAUUUACUCAUGGAGCUGAAGUCAGUCGAAGAUACCAGCUGGCUGCAACUGUUUAUUAAAAACACAGCACUGUGCAAACACGAAAGUGGACGUAUACGGUGUGACGCCUGCCCGGUGCCGGAAGGUUAAUUGAUGGGGUCAGCGUAAGCGAAGCUCCUGAUCGAAGCCCCGGUAAACGGCGGCCGUAACUAUAACGGUCCUAAGGUAGCGAAAUUCCUUGUCGGGUAAGUUCCGACCUGCACGAAUGGCGUAAUGAUGGCCAGGCUGUCUCCACCCGAGACUCAGUGAAAUUGAACUCGCUGUGAAGAUGCAGUGUACCCGCGGCAAGACGGAAAGACCCCGUGAACCUUUACUAUAGCUUGACACUGAACAUUGAGCCUUGAUGUGUAGGAUAGGUGGGAGGCUUUGAAGUGUGGACGCCAGUCUGCAUGGAGCCGACCUUGAAAUACCACCCUUUAAUGUUUGAUGUUCUAACGUGGACCCGUAAUCCGGGUUGCGGACAGUGUCUGGUGGGUAGUUUGACUGGGGCGGUCUCCUCCUAAAGAGUAACGGAGGAGCACGAAGGUUGGCUAAUCCUGGUCGGACAUCAGGAGGUUAGUGCAAUGGCAUAAGCCAGCUUGACUGCGAGCGUGACGGCGCGAGCAGGUGCGAAAGCAGGUCAUAGUGAUCCGGUGGUUCUGAAUGGAAGGGCCAUCGCUCAACGGAUAAAAGGUACUCCGGGGAUAACAGGCUGAUACCGCCCAAGAGUUCAUAUCGACGGCGGUGUUUGGCACCUCGAUGUCGGCUCAUCACAUCCUGGGGCUGAAGUAGGUCCCAAGGGUAUGGCUGUUCGCCAUUUAAAGUGGUACGCGAGCUGGGUUUAGAACGUCGUGAGACAGUUCGGUCCCUAUCUGCCGUGGGCGCUGGAGAACUGAGGGGGGCUGCUCCUAGUACGAGAGGACCGGAGUGGACGCAUCACUGGUGUUCGGGUUGUCAUGCCAAUGGCACUGCCCGGUAGCUAAAUGCGGAAGAGAUAAGUGCUGAAAGCAUCUAAGCACGAAACUUGCCCCGAGAUGAGUUCUCCCUGAGACUUAGAGUCUCCUGAAGGAACGUUGAAGACGACGACGUUGAUAGGCCGGGUGUGUAAGCGCAGCGAUGCGUUGAGCUAACCGGUACUAAUGAACCGUGAGGCUUAACCUUACAACGCCGAAG
rnacentral:rRNA from 1 species